rnacentral:rRNA from 1 species
UUUAAAGUCUAGUCUGCCCAAUGAAGAUUAAAUGGCCGUAGUAUUUUGACUGUGUUAAGGUAGCAUAAUCAUUAGUUUUUUAAUUAAAAACCGGUAUGAAUGGCUGGAUAAGAAAAUUUCUGUCUCAUUAUUAAAUUUAGAAUUUUAUUUUUAAGUUAAAAAGCUUAAAUUAUUUAAAAAGACGAGAAGACCCUAUAGAUUUUUAUAUUAAUUUUUUAUAUAAAUAUAGAUUUUUAUUUAUAUUUUAAUAUUAAUAUUUGGUUGGGGUGACUUAUAAAUUUAAAAAACUUUAUAAAUUUAUUAUACUAAUAAGUAAAUUGUUGAUCCUAAAUUUUGGAUUAUAAGAAAAAAUUACCUUAGGGAUAACAGCGUAAUUUUUUUUGAAAGUUCUUAUUAAAAAAAAAGUUUGCGACCUCGAUGUUGGAUUAAAAUUUAUUUUUGGUGAAGAAGCUAGAAUAUUAGGUCUGUUCGACCUUUAAAAUUUUACA